rnacentral:rRNA from 1 species
UAGGGAAUCUUCCACAAUGGACGCAAGUCUGAUGGAGCAACGCCGCGUGAGUGAAGAAGGUUUUCGGAUCGUAAAGCUCUGUUGUUGGUGAAGAAGGAUAGAGGCAGUAACUGGUCUUUAUUUGACGGUAAUCAACCAGAAAGUCACGGCUAACUACGUGCCAGCAGCCGCGGUAAUACGUAGGUGGCAAGCGUUGUCCGGAUUUAUUGGGCGUAAAGCGAGCGCAGGCGGAAUGAUAAGUCUGAUGUGAAAGCCCACGGCUCAACCGUGGAACUGCAUCGGAAACUGUCAUUCUUGAGUGCAGAAGAGGAGAGUGGAACUCCAUGUGUAGCGGUGGAAUGCGUAGAUAUAUGGAAGAACACCAGUGGCGAAGGCGGCUCUCUGGUCUGCAACUGACGCUGAGGCUCGAAAGCAUGGGUAGCGAACAGGAUUAGAUACCCUGGUAGUCCAUGCCGUAAACGAUGAGCGCUAGGUGUUGGGGACUUUCCGGUUCCCAGUGCCGCAGCAAACGCAUU